GACGAACGCUGGCGGCGUGCCUAACACAUGCAAGUCGAACGAAGCUUGACGAACGAUUCUUCGGAUGAAUUCUGAUAUGACUGAGUGGCGGACGGGUGAGUAACGCGUGAGCAACCUGCCUUAUACAGGGGGAUAACAGUUGGAAACGACUGCUAAUACCGCAUAAGCGCACGGUAUCGCAUGAUACAGUGUGAAAAACUCCGGUGGUAUAAGAUGGACCCGCGUCUGAUUAGCUUGUUGGUGAGGUAACGGCCCACCAAGGCGACGAUCAGUAGCCGGCCUGAGAGGGUGAACGGCCACAUUGGGACUGAGACACGGCCCAAACUCCUACGGGAGGCAGCAGUGGGGAAUAUUGCACAAUGGGGGAAACCCUGAUGCAGCGACGCCGCGUGAGUGAUGAAGUAUUUCGGUAUGUAAAACUCUAUCAGCAGGGAGAUAAUGACGGUACCUGACUAAGAAGCACCGGCUAAAUACGUGCCAGCA
rnacentral:rRNA from 1 species